GACGAACCGUGCGAACGUUAUUCGGAAUCACUGGGCUUAAAGCGUGUGUAGGCGGGUGCCUAAGUAACUUGUGAAAUCCCACGGCUCAACCGUGGAACUGCUUGGUAUACUGGGUAUCUUGAGCCACUUAGGGGCAACCGGAACAAACGGUGGAGCGGUGAAAUGCGUAGAUAUCGUUUGGAACGCCAAUGGUGAAAACAGGUUGCUGGGAGUGUGCUGACGCUGAGACACGAAAGCCAGGGGAGCAAACGGG
rnacentral:rRNA from 1 species